GGAGAGGUGUCCGAGUGGCCGAAGGAGCACGCCUGGAAAGUGUGUAUACGGCAACGUAUCGAGGGUUCGAAUCCCUCCCUCUCCGCCA
rnacentral:tRNA from 2 species